rnacentral:lncRNA from 1 species
CUCCCUUCCCACAGCAGUCCCUGGUGCAACAGGGAUCAGGUCUCUAGGAAAACUACAAACCCUAUCAAGCUGAAAAUUUCCCAUGUUCAUCUGCACGAAUUCUAGUUCUCCAGGUGAGUAAAAAUACCAUUCUGGUUCCGUUUCUGCAUCGGUCACUACGUUUCCAACUUCACUGUUUUGCUCUAGCAAAGAAGUUGACAUUGUGUUGUAAGCCCCAUCAUUGUUUGACGUUGCUGUGGUUUUACGUUUCUUUUCUGGAGGACCAUCAACAGCAGCUGACAAUGUGGCUUGAACAUCUUGUGGAACUUUGUCACAAAUUGUAACGCCACCGCUUUGAACUCCUGACCUAUGAUGCUUGAACCUGGUGAUCGGAAUUUGAUUGGAUAAUAAAUGCCCACAAAACUUACACCGCCUACGACCGCCAG